CCUACGGGAGGCUGCAGUGGGGAAUAUUGGACAAUGGGGGCAACCCUGAUCCAGCCAUGCCGCGUGUGUGAAGAAGGCCCUCGGGUUGUAAAGCACUUUCAGUGAGGAAGAACGCCUGGUGGUUAAUACCCAGCAGGAAAGACAUCACUCACAGAAGAAGCACCGGCUAACUCCGUGCCAGCAGCCGCGGUAAUACGGAGGGUGCGAGCGUUAAUCGGAAUUACUGGGCGUAAAGCGCGCGUAGGUGGCUUGAUAAGCCGGUUGUGAAAGCCCCGGGCUCAACCUGGGAACGGCAUCCGGAACUGUCAAGCUAGAGUCCAGGAGAGGAAGGUAGAAUUCCCGGUGUAGCGGUGAAAUGCGUAGAGAUCGGGAGGAAUACCAGUGGCGAAGGCGGCCUUCUGGACUGACACUGACACUGAGGUGCGAAAGCGUGGGUAGCAAACAGGAUUAGAUACCCCGGUAGUC
rnacentral:rRNA from 1 species